rnacentral:rRNA from 1 species
CUCAUUCCGGUUGAUCCUGCCGGAGGCCAUUGCUAUUGGGAUCCGAUUUAGCCAUGCUAGUUGUACGAGUUCAGACUCGUAGCGAAUAGCUCAGUAACACGUGGCCAAACUACCCUUCGGAACACAAUACCCUCGGGAAACUGAGGCCAAUAGUGUAUACCGUACCACCACUGGAAUGAGUGGUACGCCAAACGCUCCGGCGCCGAAGGAUGUGGCUGCGGCCGAUUAGGUAGACGGUGGGGUAACGGCCCACCGUGCCAAUAAUCGGUAUGGGUCAUGAGAGUGAGAACCCAGAGACGGAAUCUGAGACAAGAUUCCGGGCCCUACGGGGCGCAGCAGGCGCGAAACCUUUACACUGCACGACAGUGCGAUAGGGGGAUCCCAAGUGCACAGGCAUAGCGCCUGUGCUUUUCGGUACCCUAAGGCGGUACCAGAAUAAGGGCUGGGCAAGACCGGUGCCAGCCGCCGCGGUAAUACCGGCAGCCCAAGUGAUGGCCGAUCUUAUUGGGCCUAAAGCGUCCGUAGCUGGCCGCGCAAGUCCAUCGGGAAAUCCACCUGCUCAACAGGUGGGCGCCCGGUAGAAACUGCGUGGCUUGGGACCGGAAGGCGCGACGGGUACGUCCGGGGUAGGAGUGAAAUCCCGUAAUCCUGGACGGACCGCCGAUGGCGAAAGCACGUCGCGAGAACGGAUCCGACAGUGAGGGACGAAAGCCAGGGUCUCGAACCGGAUUAGAUACCCGGGUAGUCCUGGCCGUAAACAAUGUCUGCUAGGUGUGGCUCCCACUACGAGUGGGUGCUGUGCCGUAGGGAAGCCGCUAAGCAGACCGCCUGGGAAGUACGUCCGCAAGGAUGAAACUUAAAGGAAUUGGCGGGGGAGCACUACAACCGGAGGAGCCUGCGGUUUAAUUGGACUCAACGCCGGACAUCUCACCAGCAUCGACUGUGGUAAUGACGAUCAGGUUGAUGACCUUAUCCGAGCCUCAGAGAGGAGGUGCAUGGCCGCCGUCAGCUCGUACCGUGAGGCGUCCUGUUAAGUCAGGCAACGAGCGAGACCCGCACCCUUACUUGCCAGCAGUACCGCGAGGUAGCUGGGGACAGUAGGGGGACCGCCGUGGCUAACACGGAGGAAGGAACGGGCAACGGUAGGUCAGUAUGCCCCGAAUGUGCUGGGCAACACGCGGGCUACAAUGGUCGAGACAAAGGGUUCCUACUCCGAAAGGAGACGGUAAUCUCAGAAACUCGAUCGUAGUUCGGAUUGUGGGCUGCAACUCGCCCACAUGAAGCUGGAUUCGGUAGUAAUCGCGUGUCACAAGCGCGCGGUGAAUACGUCCCUGCUCCUUGCACACACCGCCCGUCAAAGCACCCGAGUGAGGUCCGGAUGAGGCGUACCUCGUACGUCGAAUCUGGGCUUCGCAAGGGGGCUUAAGUCGUAACAAGGUAGCCGUAGGGGAAUCUGCGGCUGGAUCACCUCCA